GCAGUAAGUAAGUGGUAGUAUACCUGCAUUGCAUGCAGAAGGUUCCAGGUUCAAUCCCUGGCAUCUCCA